UCUCCAGUAAGCUAACUAAUGGUUGGUCA
rnacentral:piRNA from 1 species